CACUGAGCAGAAAUAACACGGCUCCUGUUCAUUCUCCAUCAGUGAGGGGCCGGUGCUGGACACUGUGUAGGGACGCGGGAAUGCAAAGUCAUACACAUGACUGUGACUGAUGCACUAUCUCCAGGACAUGGAGUAGCAUUUCCGGACCUACAGCAAGACGUUGGAUGAAGGCAUAGCCCCAGAAAUAACACUGGUCCUGUUCAUCAGUGAGGGGCCGGUGCUGGACACUGUGUAGGGACACGGGAAUGCAAAGUCAUGCACAUGACUGUGACUGAUGCACUAUUUCCAGGACAUGGAGUAGCAUUUCGGGACCUACAGCAAGACGUUGGAUGAAGGCACAGGCCUAGGAAUCAUGCACAUACACAGAAACAUUUGCCCAAAUUCUAGAGGUAACCUCCUUUAGUAUGCCCAGAGGAAGGGCCAUACAGUAGCCAUGGAUUCCCUACAGGUUUCCUCCCCUCUGGAGGUUUUUCCUGUCCUGAGUAUUAGUUACUGUACGCUCUUUGUGAGUGAUGGGAGGUUACAAAAAAUCCCCUACACAAACAUUUUAAUAAAUUAUAA